UAACACUGAUUAUCUCGUUAACUUGGCACCAGCCAGAAAACGAGCUGGUGCCCUCUUUCAGCAGGAUUAUUCAUCCUGCCAUGAAGCAAAAAUAGAAGCACGAGUUAAAGGUGUGGCGUUGGCCUCUAAAUUCCUCACAUCUGGGGAAUUUACACAGCAAACCUUCGGAGGUCUGGAGGAGAAGAGUACUCGAGAGAAAUACCCCAGAGGUCCAAACACUGCUGCCGCUGCUGCUGGAGCUGGAGCUGCUCCGUCGUAACAGAGCUCGGAUGACGUCAGUGCUGCAGUGCUUUAGAGACUCUGGACCAGGUUUGUACACAGGAGCUUUAUUUUCCUUGCCUCUAGUUGAAACUUCAGUGCCUCAGGUGUAGAUGAACUGUUCCUAUAUCCUUUAUAUGGGACACUAAGAUGUGCUCUGAGCUGCUACUGGAUGGCCCUUUUCAUUUUCCCUACUAGAAUAACACAGUUGGGACUCAAAAGUGUUCAAAUUACGAACAAAAAUGCUAAACUAAAUUUUAUUUUAAUUAAAAGCUGUCAUCCUAAAACAAAGGAAAGCUAGACUUGCAUCAUAGCUUCACCUUUAAGUCAAAUAAGUGCUCCCGUCUGUCAAGAAAAAACAAAGCCACUUACGCAGUGCACUUUAAAAUAUCACAUCAAGAGCCAAAAACAGCAAUGGUAAAUUAUUGUGGGUUUUUCUUACUAAUCCUAAUGAUUUAAACUUGUUCUAUUUUUAGCAUUACUUGAGUCAAGUUGAACGUCAUGUUGUGUGCACACUGGCCACCAGGGGGCGUCAGAACCGCACUAACGCUGCAGGCGUUUCUUCGCGGCAUUUAGCCUGGACCCAGUCCUCUUCCCUCUUCACCAAGUGGAAACUGGGCAACACUGAGGUUAGUGGCCGAGUAUUUCAGGCACAACUGAGUUUGUGUAAAUGUGUAAAGUUUGGAGAAAAAAAAAAAUAUCGUGAUAAUAACGUUAAUAAAGCACCAGUCAGUUUUAUUCUUACAAUCCAAUUCUCCUUAUUCUGACCAAAAAUAUUUGUUCACGUUUAUUCAAACUCCACUUUAAAACUGACAGCUAGAUUUGUCUGAGCUAGACUGAUGAAGAAGACAGGACUUAAAGAAAAAGUGACAAUAUAACAGGAAGCUAUAUUAUUAUAUUUUUAACCCACAUCAUUAAGAUUCUCAGUCUCCAUGGUCAAAGUUAACCACUAAGUGAACAUCAUCAUGACUCCUGUGGCACAUGUUUUCUGAGUGAACUGUCCUCAUAGCAAAAAAGAAAUUUACACACUUGAUCCAGGUACAGAUGCAUCAAGGUAGAUGUUUUAAUAGCAGAUAUGAGGUCAUCUGGUUCAAAAGGUAACUUCCUCGGUAAAUGUGUCCUAAAAGGUGCAACAGCGCGACAGAGCGACAGAACAGAAAGUGUAAUUUUAGCUCUUAUAAAUAUCACACCAUUUACAUAGAUAUGUCCG